GCACCCGCACAAGCGGUGGAGCAUGCCGUUUAAUUCGAAAGUACGCGAAGAACCUUACCAAGGCUUGACAUCCCCGGCAAAGCUAUAGAAAUAUAGUGGAGGCUACCCGGGUGACAGGUGGUGCAUGGUUGUCGUCAGCUCGUGUCGUGAGAUGUUCGGUUAAGUCCGCUAACGAGCGCAACCCUUGUCAUUAGUUACUAACAUUUAGUUGAGGACUCUAAUGAGACUGCCGGUAAUAAACCGGAGGAAGGUGGGGAUGACGUCAAAUCAUCAUGCCCCUUACGUCUUGGGCAACAGGCGUGCUACAAUGGCUGGUACAAUGAGCAGCAAUACCGCGAGGUGGAGCAAAUCUAAAAAGCCAGUCGUAGUUCGGAUUGAAGUCUGCAACUCGACUUCAUGAAGCUGAAAUCGCUAGUAAUCCUGGAUCAGAAUGCCAGGGUGAAUACGUUCUCGGGUGUU
rnacentral:rRNA from 1 species